rnacentral:rRNA from 1 species
UACGAAGGGUGCUAGCGUUGCUCGGAAUCACUGGGCGUAAAGGGUGCGUAGGCGGUUCUUUAAGUCAGGGGUGAAAUCCUGGAGCUCAACUCCAGAACUGCCUUUGAUACUGAAGAUCUUGAGUUCGGGAGAGGUGAGUGGAACUGCGAGUGUAGAGGUGAAAUUCGUAGAUAUUCGCAAGAACACCAGUGGCGAAGGCGGCUCACUGGCCCGGUACUGACGCUGAGGCGCGAAAGCGUGGGGAGCAAACAGG